GCCCUAGUAGCUCAGGGGUUAGAGCGCCUCCUUGGUAGGGAGGAGGCCGUGGGUUCAAAUCCCACCUAGGGCU
rnacentral:tRNA from 1 species